ensembl:lncRNA
AUGCUUCAUAGCAUUCAAGAAUGGACUAUUCAACAUGCACAGCAAACGGAGCAUGUUCAUUGGUUCAUGGACCUCCCUGAACUACUGGCAUUUAUUGCAAUUGUCAUCUUGCGGGGGGUUACUAGGGUUCCAUCACUACGUGACUGCUGGUCAGCAAACCUGGGAAACCCACAGAUCAUUGGAACUAUGCCGCGAAACAGCUUCCAAGACAUCAUGCAACACCUAUGCUUUGAUGACAGGUCCACCCGCAGUGAUCGAGCAAAGACUGAUAAGUUCGCUGCAAUUUCCAGGGUGCGGGGAUCAUUUGUCACCAACUGCAUCACGUGCUACAACCCUGGUCUACAUAUCACCGUUGAUGAACAGCUCUUCCCAUCAAAGACUCAGUGCUGUUUCCUGCAGUAUAUUGCAAGUAAACCUGACAAGUUUGGGAUCAAGUUUUGGUUGGCUUGCGACCUAAAAUCCAAGUACAUUUGCAAUGUCUUCCCAUAUCUUGGCAAGGACCCCAAUCGUCCCAGUGGGGAGAGACUGUCUGAAAAUGUAGUGAUGAGGCUGAUGGAACCAUUCCUAGACAAGGGCAGAAAUGUUACCACGGACAAUUUCUUCACAUCGCUUUCACUUGCGCAAAAACUAGACGGAAAACCACCAUCCUCGGCACAGUCAACAAGAUUCGCCGGGAAAUUCCUCAAUCCGCUAGACACACAGAUCGCAAUGAAUUCACCACUCAGGUGUUUUCAACCUCUGCUGCCACGCUGACGGUGUAUGCGGCCAAACGGAAGAAGACAGUCUAUAUUCUUAGCAGCAUGCACAGCGUGGUUCAGACUGAUAAUACCACCAAAAGGAAGCCAAACACUGUCACCCUUUACAACACCACAAAGUGUGGCGUGGAUGUGAUGGACCAGAUGGUGCGGGAGUACACUGUCCGCAGAGGAACAUGGCGCUGGCCAGUUGCCGUGUUCUAUAACAUGAUUGACAUGGCAGCACUAAAUGCACAUGUGCUGUAUCAAGCAUGCACCGGGACGCAGGAAAGACGGGUGGACUUCCUGGUGGAGCUUGCAAGAGAGUUGGCUAACUCUCAUAUGGCUGGGUAGAAGGCAAGAAAAGAACAGUUGCUUCGGACCCAACCCUCCACACCUCGCCCUGGAAAAAGAGCCACGUGUCAGGUCAAACACAAAUGCAAGAACAAUCAUGCCACUGUGCGAUGUGUUCACUGCUACAGAUACACAUGUGGUAAAUGCAGACUACAGAUACCAUGGCAAUGCCAGGAUUGUGAGUGAUUGCUGAAAAUGUUGAAAUGUACUCACUCACUUUUUAUUAUUAUUUGUAAAUAUGUGUACAAAUGUUUUUUUUGUUUGUUUGUUUUUUUGUACUGUUUUUAUCAAUAAAUCUUUUGGAGAUUUAUUUUCCUGGAUGAUUGAGAAUGCAUCAAGACGAACACACACACACACACACACACACACACACACAAACAAAGAGGCAGUUGGCAGUUAGAAAUCAGCAAUCAUUCACACACCCCCACUCCCCUCCAGAAUUCUCAGGUAACGACCUAAUUUACAUAUGAAUUGACGCUAAAAGACUAGCCAAUUUAGCUUCCAUUUGGCUGACAGAGGGUUAGAAAAGUCUGGGACUUCUAGUGUUAAAGAGCAG